ACGAGGAGGCGGGGCCUGCCCCGGGUCACGUGAGAGCGCCGCUGCGCAGCUCGUCUUGAGCGACUGGAACGGAACCGAAUCACCGGUCAAAUACGCUCCGUUUACCGGCCCAGCGCGAUCUUCCGCCAACCGCGACGCGUUCCAGCAGCGGCAGCAUCAUGUCGGCGGUGCAGCGGAUGAAAGUAGCGAACGAGAAACACAGCAAGACGAUCACACAGAGAGGACACGUGCAGAAAACCACGCGUGUGGUGAAUGAGGAGAAGUCUCCGGUGGGUCCGUGGCUCCUCGCGCUCUUUGUGUUUGUGGUCUGUGGAUCAGCAAUCUUCCAGAUCAUCCAGAGCAUCAGGCAGGGCUUGUGAGCGUCCAUCUGCAGACGUCUGAACUCCAGCACUGAUCUUCCAUGCAGUCGUUCACUUCUUCUGUUCAUCUCUCAGUUGUUUACUGCUGAUUUUAUUGAGUGUGUGUGUGUGUGUGUGUGUGUGAGUGAGUGAGUGUGUGUGUGUGUGUGAGGGGAGCAUGUUCUGGAAUCUUUCACGAUGUGUGUAGUUUGUGAUUGGCUGUUCGAGUGUGUCUUUGGUUUAGCCGCUGUCUCUGGUUCGCUCUUGAUUAUUGUCACUGAUGAGGUUUUGUAAAUCAGACAUCAGUAGUCAUAUGAUCCUGUACAUCUGUGUCUCUUCCUCCCUCUGACAGGAGAUUAAUGCUGUGUAAUAAUGAUUUUAUACAAAUAAAAGUAUUUUCUCUAUCCGCACUGUUUUACUUUCAGAAUAAAAACCAACACAA